AGAGUUUGAUCCUGGCUCAGAACGAACGCUGGCGGCGCGUCUUAAACAUGCAAGUCGAACGAUCUGUAGCAAUACAGGGAGUGGCGGACGGGUGAGGAACACGUAGGAAUCUACCUUGAAGAGCGGGACAACUUUGGAAACCGGGGCUAAUACCGCAUAGUACAGAGAUGUUAAAGGGCUAGCAAUAGUCGCUUCGAGAUGAGCCUGCGGUCUAUCAGCUUGUUGGUGAGGUAAUGGGCUCACCAAGGCUACGACGGAUAGCCGGUCUGAGAGGAUGAUCGGCCACACUGGCACUGAGACACGGGCCAGACUCCUACGGGAGGCAGCAGUUAAGAAUCUUGCGCAAUGGGGGAAACCCUGACGCAGCGACGCCGCGUGAAGGAUGAAGGCUUUCGGGUUGUAAACUUCGGUAGACUGGGAAGAAGAACUACGUUCGUUGAGGGCGUAGAGUGACGGUACCAGUCUGAAGCCCCGGCUAAUUACGUG
rnacentral:rRNA from 1 species